rnacentral:rRNA from 1 species
GCCUGAUGGAGGGGGAUAACUACUGGAAACGGUAGCUAAUACCGCAUAAUGUCGCAAGACCAAAGAGGGGGACCUUCGGGCCUCUUGCCAUCGGAUGUGCCCAGAUGGGAUUAGCUUGUUGGUGGGGUAACGGCUCACCAAGGCGACGAUCCCUAGCUGGUCUGAGAGGAUGACCAGCCACACUGGAACUGAGACACGGUCCAGACUCCUACGGGAGGCAGCAGUGGGGAAUAUUGCACAAUGGGCGCAAGCCUGAUGCAGCCAUGCCGCGUGUAUGAAGAAGGCCUUCGGGUUGUAAAGUACUUUCAGCGGGGAGGAAGGGAGUAAAGUUAAUACCUUUGCUCAUUGACGUUACCCGCAGAAGAAGCACCGGCUAACUCCGUGCCAGCAGCCGCGGUAAUACGGAGGGUGCAAGCGUUAAUCGGAAUUACUGGGCGUAAAGCGCACGCAGGCGGUUUGUUAAGUCAGAUGUGAAAUCCCCGGGCUCAACCUGGGAACUGCAUCUGAUACUGGCAAGCUUGAGUCUCGUAGAGGGGGGUAGAAUUCCAGGUGUAGCGGUGAAAUGCGUAGAGAUCUGGAGGAAUACCGGUGGCGAAGGCGGCCCCCUGGACGAAGACUGACGCUCAGGUGCGAAAGCGUGGGGAGCAAACAGGAUUAGAUACCCUGGUAGUCCACGCCGUAAACGAUGUCGACUUGGAGGUUGUGCCCUUGAGGCGUGGCUUCCGGAGCUAACGCGUUAAGUCGACCGCCUGGGGAGUACGGCCGCAAGGUUAAAACUCAAAUGAAUUGACGGGGGCCCGCACAAGCGGUGGAGCAUGUGGUUUAAUUCGAUGCAACGCGAAGAACCUUACCUGGUCUUGACAUCCACGGAAGUUUUCAGAGAUGGAUUGUGCCUUCGGGAACUGUGAGACAGGUGCUGCAUGGCUGUCGUCAGCUCGUGUUGUGAAAUGUUGGGUUAAGUCCCGCAACGAGCGCAACCCUUAUCCUUUGUUGCCAGCGGUCCGGCCGGGAACUCAAAGGAGACUGCCAGUGAUAAACUGGAGGAAGGUGGGGAUGACGUCAAGUCAUCAUGGCCCUUACGACCAGGGCUACACACGUGCUACAAUGGCGCAUACAAAGAGAAGCGACCUCGCGAGAGCAAGCGGACCUCAUAAAGUGCGUCGUAGUCCGGAUUGGAGUCUGCAACUCGACUCCAUGAAGUCGGAAUCGCUAGUAAUCGUGGAUCAGAAUGCCACGGUGAAUACGUUCCCGGGCCUUGUACACACCGCCCGUCACACCAUGGGAGUGGGUUGCAAAAGAAGUAGGUAGCUUAACCUUCGGGAGGGCGCUUACCACUUUGUGAUUCAUGACUGGGGUGAAGUCGUAACAAGGUAACCGUAGGGGAACCUGCGGUUGGAUCACCUCCUUACCUUAAAGAAGC